UGUUUGCAUUGUCCUGCAGUUCGCGUUAAAAAAACGUACAUUAAAUACAAAAUUUGUUUUUGUUAGCAUUUGAGAUUUUUAUUUUGUAAUCGCUCCUUUCUGUGAAUUAUAACUAGUUCAAUUAGAUUUAGCGCCAUAGAAACAAUUUGUUUUCAUUAUUGUUGCUACGGGUCCGAUUCGUGAGAAUCUCUAAAUAUUAGUCAUAAUAACUUAGUUGAAGUUUAUGAUAAAUACCUAACGUAUUGCGUCGUGUUUCGUUAUUGAAUUACAAUUGAGUUUUUUGUCUUGCCUGUUAAUAAUUUAUUAUAAGUUUCAAGCAGCAGCCGUGAACAGCGGUUUACAGUUCUACGUUAUAGUUUGGAAGCGGUAUAAAAUGUUAAAAAUUAAACUUGAAAAUGAUGAAACAGAACAACACUCCUAUGAAGUCAUUGCACCCAAACCAUUAGAUGUGCAGUUCAAAAACAAUGAAAUUACUACAACAGAGGAGUAUUUGAUAAAGAAUGAAGUCGACAAUACUUAUGUCUGCAAUAACGACGAUUUGAAUGUCAAAUUUGAAAAAGAAUGCUUCAAUGACUGUGUUUUCGAAAAUCAGAUAUUGAAAUCGUAAGGCAUGAACUGUUUGAUGCUGAAAAAGAGCUAACAACGUUGUAUGACUGCAAUUACUGCCAAAAAUCUUUUAAGACAAAACGACGAAUUAAAAACCACAUUUUAAGUAUUCAUUAUCCGUGUAACGAGAUCGACACUUCAAAUUGUACAAACUCUAUUGAUAACUAUACUCGAAACAAAGAUGUCCUAUUUAAUUGUGGUAUUUGUUUAAUAAGUUUUUCAUCAAAAUCAAACCUGAAAAGACAUUGGCGGAUUCAUACGGACGAAAAGGCUUUUAAAUGCAAUGUGUAUGAAAAAACAUUUGGACGAAAAGAACACCUCAAAACUCAUAAAAGGACACAUACUGGCGAGAAACCUUUUAAAUGCAAUGUGUGUGCA